UCCAAUAAAUCUCCUACCCUGUUUAAAACCAGACUUCUAACCCUUAUCACUACUAAUACUCCUGCUAGUUCCGCCGCCAAGAUCUACAUGCCCAUAAGUCAGAUCCGCGCCCUCGUUGGCAUUGCAGCGUACGCCUGCGGAGUUCAAAGCUUCCUCCCCGGGAGGUCUAGUUUUCAGGCUAAGUAGGUAGGGGUAACGUUCUUCUAAUCCUCCAAUUCUGAUCCCUUCCUUGGAUUAAACUCACUCCCUUUUCUUCGAUGGCAUCAAGAUGUAGGUUCGUCAUACCGGAAGCGGCAGCGGCGGCAUCUUCUCACUUCCAGACUCUUAGGUCAGUCUUACCGGACCUCCAAGCCCUCAAAACCAUGCGGUUCGCUUCGUAUGUAGGUCAGGAAACUAACCCAUGAGUUUCAUUUCGACCUUCGAUUAGUUUCAGAGGUUUACCUUGUUCGCCGGAAUCUGGGUGUUUUAGCCGCCGGAUUGUGGGCGCUCGCAGUGGUCAACGGAGGCGGUCAACGUGGAGAAAAUAUUAGUUGCAGUCCCUGGAAGUUUUAGUGGUCACAGUUUGCUCAUUGGACUUCUAGUAAUUCUAUUCAGCACAUAUAGUUCUAGAAAUUAUGUCACGGAUAUAGAACUUUAGAAUAUGACAGGUUAGUCCUUAAUUGUUAAUUAUCACUGCCGCGACCUGUAACUUUCAGGUUGUGACGAAACAUACCCAAAUAAUUUGCUAAGUAGUUCAAUCUAGUACAAAAUUCAGUUAAUUUAAUCCGGUUAAUGAAUUAACCAAAGAAUCGAUUCUCCCUAGGGUCUCUUAAUGUAUUUUACUCAAAU
rnacentral:lncRNA from 1 species